GGUGAACGCUGGCGGCGUGCCUAAUACAUGCAAGUCGAGCGAACGGACGAGAAGCUUGCUUCCCUGAUGUUAGCGGCGGACGGGUGAGUAACACGUGGAUAACCUACCUAUAAGACUGGGAUAACUUCGGGAAACCGUAGCUAAUACCGGAUAAUAUUUUGAACCGCAUGGUUCAAAAGUGAAAGACGGUCUUGCUGUCACUUAUAGAUGGAUCCGCGCUGCAUUAGCUAGUUGGUAAGGUAACGGCUUACCAAGGCAACGAUGCAUAGCCGACCUGAGAGGAUGAUCGGCCACACUGGAACUGAGACACGGUCCAGACUCCUACGGGAGGCAGCAGUAGGGAAUCUUCCGCAAUGGGCGAAAGCCUGACGGAGCAACGCCGCGUGAGUGAUGAAGGUCUUCGGAUCGUAAAACUCUGUUAUUAGGGAAGAACAUAUGUGUAAGUAACUGUGCACAUCUUGACGGUACCUAAUCAGAAAGCCACGGCUAACUACGUG
rnacentral:rRNA from 1 species